rnacentral:sRNA from 1 species
UCAACCUGUAGUGCUACCUUAUUGUAAUC